rnacentral:rRNA from 1 species
AAUUUUGGACAGUGGGCGCAAGCCUGAUCCAGCCAUGCCGCGUGCAGGAUGAAGGCCUUCGGGUUGUAAACUGCUUCUGUACGGAACGAAAAGGCUCUUUCUAAUAAAGAGGGCUCAUGACGGUACCGUAAGAAUAAGCCACGGCUAACUACGUGCCAGCAGCCGCGGUAAUACGUAGGUGGCAAGCGUUGUCCGGAUUUAUUGGGUUUAAAGGGUGCGUAGGCGGUCCUAUAAGUCAGUGCUGAAAUAUCCCGGCUUAACCGGGAGGGUGGCAUUGAUACUGCAGGACUUGAGUAAAGUUGAGGUGGGCGGAAUUGACGGUGUAGCGGUGAAAUGCUUAGAUAUCGUCAAGAACACCGAUUGCGAAGGCAGCUCACUAAGCUUUAACUGACGCUGAGGCACGAAAGUGUGGGGAUCAAAC